CCUACGGGUGGCAGCAGUGGGGAAUAUUGGGCAAUGGGCGCAAGCCUGACCCAGCAACGCCGCGUGAAGGAAGAAGGCUUUAGGGUUGUAAACUUCUUUUCUGAGGGACGAGGAAAGUGACGGUACCUCAGGAAUAAGCCACGGCUAACUACGUGCCAGCAGCCGCGGUAAUACGUAGGUGGCAAGCGUUAUCCGGAUGUAUUGGGUGUAAAGGGCGUGUAGGCGGGAAAGCAAGUCAGAUGUGAAAACUCAGGGCUCAACCCUGAGCCUGCAUUUGAAACUGUUUUUCUUGAGUGCUGGAGAGGCAAUCGGAAUGCCGGGGGUAGCGGUGAAAUGCGUAGAUAUACGGAGGAACACCAGUGGCGAAGGCGGAUUGCUGGACAGUAACUGACGCUGAGGCGCGAAAGCGUGGGUAGCGAACAGGAUUAGAUACCCCUGUAGUC
rnacentral:rRNA from 1 species